UACGUAGGGGGCAAGCGUUGUCCGGAUUUAUUGGGCGUAAAGAGCGUGUAGGUGGCCAUACAGGUCCGUUGUGAAAACUGGAGGCUUAACCUCCAGACGUCGAUGGAAACCGUAUGGCUAGAGUCCGGAAGAGGAGAGUGGAAUUCCUGGUGUAGCGGUGAAAUGCGCAGAUAUCAGGAAGAACACCGAUGGCGAAGGCAAUCCCCUGGGCCUGUACUGACGCUCAUGCACGAAAGCGUGGGGAGCAAACAGG
rnacentral:rRNA from 1 species